UGGGGAAUUUUGGACAAUGGGCGCAAGCCUGAUCCAGCAAUGCCGCGUGAGUGAAGAAGGCCUUCGGGUUGUAAAGCUCUUUCAGUUGAGAGGAAAAGGUUGUGACUAAUAAUCACAAUUCAUGACAGUAUCAACAGAAGAAGCACCGGCUAACUACGUGCCAGCAGCCGCGGUAAUACGUAGGGUGCGAGCGUUAAUCGGAAUUAUUGGGCGUAAAGGGUGCGCAGGCGGUUCUGUAAGUCAGAUGUGAAAUCCCCGGGCUUAACCUGGGAAUUGCGUUUGAAACUACAGAACUAGAGUGUGGCAGAGGGGGGUGGAAUUCCAUGUGUAGCAGUGAAAUGCGUAGAGAUGUGGAAGAACAUCGAUGGCGAAGGCAACCCCCUGGGUUAACACUGACGCU
rnacentral:rRNA from 1 species